UACGGAGGGUGCAAGCGUUGUUCGGAAUCAUUGGGCGUAAAGCGCACGUAGGCGGGUUUGUAUGUCGAUUGUGAAAGCCCCGGGCUUAACCUGGGAAUUGCAGUCGAAACUGCAGAUCUUGAAUACCUGAGAGGGUGGGAGAAUUGCUGGUGGAGUAGUGAAAUACGUAGAGAUCAGCAGGAAUACCAGAGGCGAAGGCGCCUACCUGGCAGUGUAUUGACGCUGAGGUGCGAAAGCGUGGGGAGCAAACAGG
rnacentral:rRNA from 1 species